UAACGUAAAUACCACAAUUAUUUAUCAUAUUUGUAGUCACACCGCUAUUUAUAUUUUUAUAUUUAUUGAUACAAUUUGUAUUUGUAUUUUAAAGUUCACACUUGUAUUUAUAUUUUGUAGUUCGUAUUUGUAUUUGUAUUUAACAGUUCACACUUGUAUUUGUAUUUGUUAGUUUGCGCCAUCAUUUAUAUUUUAUAUAAUUCACACUUUUAUUAUAAAGAACUAUUUUGUAUUUGUAUUUUAUAAUUGAUUGCAUAUUGUAUUGGAUUAUAUUUAUAUUAUGAUUUUAUUGUGUUUGUAUAUUUGGAUUAUACUGGUAUUUGUAUUCUAUUUUCUUCAUUACCUUUUUAUUUUUAAAAUAUUAUUUUGUAUUUGUAUUUGUAAGUUGAUUACAUAUUAUAUUUAGUCGUGACUAAGUACAAUUUAUCAUUUGUAUUUGUAUACAAACAAGUAAGUUCAUUAAUUGUAUUUUUGUUAUUCUA
rnacentral:lncRNA from 1 species